UGGUUAUCACCAAAAUAUAGGGCAACUAAGAUUCGACCCUAUCUGCGUGUCCACACUCCCGUGUUAUUGAACACACGUUAACAGAGUGUAACUCCGAUCUUGACUCCUUCAGAGAUCAAAAAGCACACAAUGUAUUGAAUGCCAAUUGUUAUAUUGUAAAG